rfam:Serpula lacrymans var. lacrymans S7.3 unplaced genomic scaffold SERLA73scaffold_7, whole genome shotgun sequence.
GGCGGGUUGGCGUAAUGGUAACGCGCUAGUUUCCGGUUGUGGGAUCGCUAGAGAUUCUGAGUUCGAGUCUCAGGCUCGUCG